UCUCCCCCUCUCCGGCCUGCGUAUUGUUGAACUCGGAUCGGGCGAUACGCUCGGCUAUUGCGGCAAGCUGUUUUCGGAUUUCGGCGCGGACGUCAUCAAGAUCGAGCCACAGGGCGGCGAUCCCGGCCGCCGUAUUCCGCCGCUCGCUGAUGUGGGCGAAGGCAAGCGCGAGAGCCUCACCUUCGCGUGGCUCAACACCAACAAGAAGAGCAUCAUCGCUGAUCCGGAAAACACAGCGGACGCGAACAGGAUUCUCGAACUGCUCGCCAGCGCCGAUCUGCUGCUCG
rnacentral:misc_RNA from 1 species